CUCUGUCUCAAAAAAAAAAAAAGAGUGUGUCGCUGUUACUGCAAUUUGGCUUUCCACCUUCCCGCGCGACUGUGGCAACAACAUGCUUCUGAUUCAGCCCGUUGACUUAGCUGUAAAAAUACAUUAAUCAGAACUGCCUGGCAUCUUCCUGAACAAGACUUUCAGUAGUGCCCAGUAUGCUUCACUUCAUCCGGAAGUUUUCACAAGCAUCUUCAAAGAGGCUGAAGUACCUUUUCCCGAUGGGACUAGGAGCCAUCAGGAAAACAGAUACACUUUCUCUCAAGACAUCUCUCCAGCAAAACUUUUUCCCUUGGUUUCCAAGGCCUUGGCUUUUGUCAUCCUUUCCAGUGUGUAUGAGCAAGACACAAUGCUAUCAUACAUCCCCAUGCAGCUUUAAGAAAAAGCAGAAGCAAACGGUACUUCCAGCCAGGCCACCAAGCACCAUCACUUACCUGCCUGACAGCUCAAAGCCAGCAUUAUAUGUAACUUUGGCAGGACUAAUCCCCUUCUUUGCUCCACCACUGUUUAUGCUGAUGACAAAGACUUAUAUCCCUGUAUUAGCUUUUACUCAGAUGGCUUAUGGAGCCAGUUUCCUAUCUUUCUUGGGAGGGGUCAGAUGGGGUUUUUCUUUACCAGAAGGUAGUCCAGCCAAACCGGACUAUCUUAAUUUAGUUAAUAGUGUGGCUCCUCUUGUGUUUUCAUGGUUUGCCUUCCUUAUUUCUGAAAGACUCAGUGAAACCAUAGUCACAGUUAUAAUAGGUUUGGAGAUAGCAUUACACCUUGAACUUUUCCUCUUGCCACAGUAUCCCAACUGGUUCAAAGCCCUGAGGAUAGUAGUCACUUUAUUGGCCUUUUUUUCAUUUAUAAUCACCUUAAUAGUUAAAAAUAUUUAUCCAGAGAGAGGACCUAAGAGACCUGGUCAAAUAGAAUAAACAUAAAGCUACA